rfam:Schistosoma mansoni strain Puerto Rico chromosome W, complete genome
AUCCAGUUGACGAGUCUUAAAUAAGACAAAACGCGCGUACUGGAU